AUGACUCAGUCUCCAAGCUCCUUGACUAUGUCUCAAGGAGAAAGGGUCACCAUCAACUGCAAGUCCAGUCAGACUGCAAGCAACUACUUAAACUGAUACCAGCAGAAACCAGGACAGGCUCCUAAGCUGCUCAUCUAUAGAGUAUCUGACUGGGCAUCUGGGGUCCCUGACCGAUUCAGCAACAGUGUAUCUGGAACAGACUUCACUCUUAUCAUCAACAGUCUCCAGGCUGAAGAUGUGGGAUAUUAUUAUAGUCAGUAUGGUUAUAGUACUCCUCCCACAGUGCUUCAGUCUGGAAUAUAA